rnacentral:rRNA from 1 species
CCUACGGGUGGCUGCAGUGAGGAAUAUUGGUCAAUGGCCGGAAGGCUGAACCAGCCAAGCCGCGUGAAGGACGAAGGUGCCAAGCAUUGUAAACUUCUUUUGUCAAGGGACAAAAUCAGGCUCGAGAGCCUGACCGAGGGUACUUGAAUAAAAAGCAUCGGCUAACUCCGUGCCAGCAGCCGCGGUAAUACGGAGGAUGCAAGCGUUAUCCGGAUUUAUUGGGUGUAAGGGGUGCGUAGGAGGAAUAUCAAGUCCGCGGUAAAAAUCCGGGGUUCAACCCCGUCGUGCCGUUGAAACUGAUGUUCUUGAGUGGGCGAGAAGUAUGCGGAAUGCGGGGUGUAGCGGUGAAAUGCAUAGAUAUAACGCAGAACUCCGAUUGCGAAGGCAGCAUACCGGCGCCCAACUGACGCUGAAGCGCGAAAGCGUGGGUAGCGAACAGGAUUAGAUACCCGGGUAGUC